rfam:Tatumella morbirosei strain LMG 23360 Contig3, whole genome shotgun sequence.
CUUUAACAAUCCGGAACAAGCUGAAAAUUUGAAAACAAUGAAUAACGCGAGUUAUUCAGAGUCUCUCAAAAACUUUUACGAUUCAUAGUCGUUGCAAGACGUCUGUGG